rnacentral:rRNA from 1 species
GCAAGUCGAACGGUAACAGACGGAAGCUUGCUUCUGUGCUGACGAGUGGCGGACGGGUGAGUAAUACAUAGGAAUCUGCCCAGUAGUGGGGGAUAACGUGGAGAAAUCCACGCUAAUACCGCAUAUGUUCUACGGAACAAAGCAGGGGACCUUCGGGCCUUGCGCUAUUGGAUGAGCCUAUGUCGGAUUAGCUUGUUGGUGAGGUAAAAGCUCACCAAGGCGACGAUCAAUAGCUGUUCUUAGAGGAAGACC